GGCAUGUUGGUCUAGGGGUAUGAUUCCUGCUUUGGGCGCUGGUGGUCCCGGGUUCAAAUCCCGGACAGGCCC